CUUUGACCUCGGAUCAGGUAGGGAUACCCGCUGAACUUAA
rnacentral:rRNA from 4 species